rnacentral:ncRNA from 1 species
CUCAGAUAAGGGCAAACCUAUUGAAAGAUAGGGACGCAAAGCCACAGGUCUUCUAUUGGAAACAAUAAUGACGGCUGGGCCGCCUGA